GACGAACGCUGGCGGCGCGCUUAACACAUGCAAGUCGAGCGAGAACCAGGGCUUCGGCCCUGGGGACAGCGGCGAACGGGUGAGUAACACGUGGAUAACCUGCCCUCGACACCGGGAUAGCCCGGGGAAACCCGGAUUAAUACCGGAUGGCCCUUCCGGCUUUCGAGCCGGUCGGAAAAGGUAGCUUCGGCCUCCGGCCGAGGAUGGGUCCGCGGCGGAUUAGCUUGUUGAUGGGGUAACGGCCUACCAAGGCGCCGAUCCGGAGCUGGUCUGAGAGGAAGAGCAGGAACACGGGGACUGAGACACGGCCCAGAGUCGUACGGGAGGCAGCAGUGGGGAAUCUUGCGCAAUGGGCGAAAGCCUGACGCAGCGCCGCCGCGUGAGGGAGGAAGGCCUUCGGGUUGUAAACCUCUUUCAGGAGGGACGAAGCUACUCGGGUGAAUAGCCCAGAGGGUGACGGUACCUCCAGAAGAAGCCCCGGCUAACUACGUGCCAGCCGCCGCCGUAAAAC
rnacentral:rRNA from 1 species